rnacentral:rRNA from 1 species
AACGAACGCUGGCGGCGCGUCUUAAGCAUGCAAGUCGAACGGCAAGAGAGGAGCUUGCUUCUCUCCUAGAGUGGCGGACUGGUGAGGAACACGUGGGUAAUCUACCCUUAAGAUGGGGAUAGCUGCUAGAAAUAGCAGGUAAUACCGAAUACACUCGGCAUAUCACAAGAGGUGUUGAGGAAAGGAAGCUACGGCUUCGCUUGAGGAUGAGCUUGCGUCCCAUUAGCUAGUUGGUGAGGUAAAGGCCCACCAAGGCGACGACGGGUAUCCGGCCUGAGAGGGUGAACGGACACAUUGGGACUGAGAUACGGCCCAAACUCCUACGGGAGGCAGCAGCUAAGAAUAUUCCGCAAUGGACGGAAGUCUGACGGAGCGACGCCGCGUGGAUGAAGAAGGCUGAAAAGUUGUAAAAUCCUUUUGUUGAUGAAGAAUAAGGGUGAGAGGGAAUGCUCAUCUGAUGACGGUAAUCGACGAAUAAGCCCCGGCUAAUUACGUG